rnacentral:rRNA from 1 species
GACGAACGCUGGCGGCGUGCCUAAUACAUGCAAGUUGAGCGCUGAAGGUUGGUACUUGUACCAACUGGAUGAGCAGCGAACGGGUGAGUAACGCGUGGGGAAUCUGCCUUUGAGCGGGGGACAACAUUUGGAAACGAAUGCUAAUACCGCAUAAAAACUUUAAACACAAGUUUUAAGUUUGAAAGAUGCAAUUGCAUCACUCAAAGAUGAUCCCGCGUUGUAUUAGCGAGUUGGUGAGGUAAAGGCUCACCAAGGCGAUGAUACAUAGCCGACCUGAGAGGGUGGUCGGCCACAUUGGGACUGAGACACGGCCCAAACUCCUACGGGAGGCAGCAGUAGGGAAUCUUCGGCAAUGGACGAAAGUCUGACCGAGCAACGCCGCGUGAGUGAAGAAGGUUUUCGGAUCGUAAAACUCUGUUGGUAGAGAAGAACGUUGGUGAGAGUGGAAAGCUCAUCAAGUGACGGUAACUACCCAGAAAGGGACGGCUAACUACGUG